CUCGUCCAUGCCCUCGCCGGUGUACCAAUGCAAGAAAGCCUUACGCCUGAACAUAGCGGUAAACUGCUCCGAGAUGCGCUUGAACAGCUCCUGGAUGGCGGUGGAGUUGCCGAUGAAGGUGGCGGCCAUUUUGAGGCCACGGGGUGGAAUAUCGCACACGGCGGUCUUGACGUUGUUGGGGAUCCAUUCGACGAAGUAUGAAGAGUUCUUGUUUUGGAUGUUGAGCAUCUGUUCGUCGACUUCCUUCAUGGACAUGCGACCACGGAAGAUGGCGGCGACGGUGAGGUAGCGGCCGUGACGUGGGUCGCAGGCCGCCAUCAUGUUCUUGGCGUCGAACAUUUGUUGGGUGAGUUCGGGUACGGUGAGGGCGCGGUAUUGUCUGCUUCCACGGGAUGUGAGAGGAGCGAAACCGGGCAUGAAGAAGUGGAGACGUGGGAAUGGAA